UCCUGGCUUAGGACGACGCUGCGGCAUGCCUAACACAUGCAAGUCGAACGGGGGUAGCCAAUACCCUAGUGGCGAACGGGUGAGUAACACAUAAGCAAUCUGCCCUUCGACAGGGGGAUAACAGCGGGAAACUGCUGACUAAUACCGCAUAAGACCACGGUACCGCAUGGUACAGGGGUAAAAACGAAUCAGUGGUGAAGGAUGAGCUUAUGUCCCAUUAGCUAGUUGGUGAGAUAACAGCCCACCAAGGCGACGAUGGGUAGCCGACCUGAGAGGGUGAUCGGCCACACUGGAACUGAGACACGGUCCAGACUCCUACGGGAGGCAGCAGUGGGGAAUAUUGGGCAAUGGAGGAAACUCCUUACCCAGCAAUGCCGCGUGAGUGAAGAAGGUCUUCGGAUUGUAAAGCUCUUUGAUUGGGGACGAAGAAAGUGACGGUACCCAAAGAACAAGCCCCGGCUAACUACGUGCCAGCAGCUGC
rnacentral:rRNA from 1 species